CAGCCAGUCUGUCAGACAACAUGUGUGUGCACAGCUUACCCUACAGGUUCCAGAGCUUACCAAGCCAUUUCCUCCAUUGUAUUACUUAGCACCUGCAAGUAGAUGCUGAGUGGGAGUGAGGGUCGAGUUACCUCACUCUAGUGCCCAACAACAUACAAUUUUCAGAUCCUGCCUGGCCAAGAUACCAACUUCUACUCCUAGAUGGGCAUCAGUGGACCUGACAGAGAGAAUUCCUCUAACUUAGCAGAGGCUGUUGCCGGAUACCUCCAAACCCGGGCUGGAGGAUUUCCAUGUGCAGCUCUCCCUUCCUGGAAAAGCUUCAACUUGUCCAUAAUACAAGAAGCUUCUCAUUCAGUAAAGUUAAUAACUGGAACCAACGGCUGGUGCUGAAUAGUAAUCAUCACCUGCCAGGAGCCUAUUGACCAGGAGGACUGCCUGCUGCCUGUAGCUCCUGGUAACAGGGAGCCCUUCGAGAGCCAUCUCUGUGCCGCCUCCACAAUGGGACGGUGAUGCCUUUCUCUCUGGAAGCGUUUGUACUGGGUCUCUAAGACAGUAGCUGCCAGAACUGAAGCCAACACUGGCAACGUGAAGCACAAGAGGCCUGAGUUUAUUUGGCCAACUCAGAAUUUAGCUGCGUGCACAUGGGGCUGUUUUUUAUGGCCACUGUAAAAAGUCUCCUUCCACUUUCCCCCGAAGCCCAGGGCCCUCUCUCCUCCCCCUCCGUACCCAGCUCAGCCAUUACCGGCCACUUAGCCUCCAAUGUUCAGGGCCCCUUUUAAAGCACUAUUAGAUGUCUGGAUAGUUUAUGGAUCUCUGGGCUUCUGACUCCCUGGACCACAGCGCUCUAAAAGCUGGGCCAUCAGAUGCCGUUGCAGAGGGAGGCAUGGGGGGUUGGGCAGUGCGUGAGUUUACUCUUUAAUGCGUGAACGUGUUACACCAAAUGGAUGGAAAUGCUAUGCUGGCAAAUUUUGUUUCUUUAUAGGUUUCUGAUUUAAAAAAAAAAAAUCAAUUAGCGUGUUUUUACUUAUAUUAACCGUCUCACAAUCUUCAGGUUUUGGAAUCACUGCUACUCUAGUGGCCAAUUAAACUUGCUCGAGCCUCCAUCC
rnacentral:lncRNA from 12 species